GACGAACGCUGGCGGCGUGCUUAACACAUGCAAGUCGAGCGGAAAGGCCCUUUCGGGGGUACUCGAGCGGCGAACGGGUGAGUAACACGUGAGUAAUCUGCCCUGCGCUCUGGGAUAGCCACCGGAAACGGUGAUUAAUACCGGAUAGGACCACUUCACGCAUGUGAUGGUGGUGGAAAGUUUUUUCGGCGCAGGAUGUGCUCGCGGCCUAUCAGCUUGUUGGUGAGGUAACGGCUCACCAAGGCUUUGACGGGUAACCGGCCUGAGAGGGUGACCGGUCACACUGGGACUGAGACACGGCCCAGACUCCUACGGGAGGCAGCAGUGGGGAAUAUUGGACAAUGGGCGGAAGCCUGAUCCAGCAACGCCGCGUGAGGGAUGACGGCCUUCGGGUUGUAAACCUCUUUCAGUACCGACGAAGCGAAAGUGACGGUAGGUACAGGAGAAGGACCGGCCAACUACGUGCCAGCAGCCGCGGUAAUACGUAGGGUCCGAGCGUUGUCCGGAAUUAUUGGGCGUAAAGGGCUCGUAGGCGGUUUGUCGCGUCGGGAGUGAAAACACCGGGCUUAACUCGGUGCUUGCUUUCGAUACGGGCAGACUAGAGGUAUGCAGGGGAGAAUGGAAUUCCUGGUGUAGCGGUGAAAUGCGCAGAUAUCAGGAGGAACACCGGUGGCGAA
rnacentral:rRNA from 1 species